AAUGGGCGAAAGCCUGACGGAGCAACGCCGCGUGAGGGAUGAAGGCCUCCGGGCUGUAAACCUCUUCUAUCAAGGAAGAAGAUCUGACGGUACUUGAUGAAUAAGCCACGGCUAAUUCCGUGCCAGCAGCCGCGGUAAUACGGGAGUGGCGAGCGUUAUCCGGAAUUAUUGGGCGUAAAGCGUCCGCAGGCGGCCCUUCAAGUCUGCUGUUAAAAAGUGGAGCUUAACUCCAUCAUGGCAGUGGAAACUGUUGGGCUUGAGUGUGGUAGGGGCAGAGGGAAUUCCCGGUGUAGCGGUGAAAUGCGUAGAUAUCGGGAAGAACACCAGUGGCGAAGGCGCUCUGCUGGGCCAUCACUGACGCUCAUGGACGAAAGCCAGGGGAGCGAAAGGGAUU
rnacentral:rRNA from 1 species